GAACUGCGAUAAGUAAUGUGAAUUGCAGAAUUCAGUGAAUCAUCGAGUCUUUGAACGCACAUUGCGCCCCCUGGCAUUCCGGGGGGCAUGCCUGUCCGAGCGUCAUUGCUGCCCUUCAAGCCCGGCUUGUGUGUUGGGUCGUCGUCCCCUCCGGGGGACGGGCCCGAAAGGCAGCGGCGACACCGCGUCCGGUCCUCGAGCGUAUGGGGCUUUGUCACCCGCUCGAUAAGGACCGGCCGGGCGCCAGCCGGCGUCUCCAACCUUUUUUUCUCAGGUUGACCUCGGAUCAGGUAGGGAUACCCGCUGAACUUAAGC
rnacentral:misc_RNA from 1 species